UCCGUAGGUGAACCUGCGGAAGGAUCAUUCAUAAUCAAGUGUUUUUAUGGCACUUUCAAAAAUCCAUAUCCACCUUGUGUGCAAUGUCAUCUCACUGGAGGUCAACGGCUGUAAAAAUCCGUUGGUCACCUUUGGGAUUUAUAUCUACUCAGAACUUUAGUGAUUUUGUCUAAAACAUAUUAUGAAUACUUAAUUCAAAAUACAACUUUCAACAACGGAUCUCUUGGCUCUCGCAUCGAUGAAGAACGCAGCGAAAUGCGAUACGUAAUGUGAAUUGCAGAAUUCAGUGAAUCGUCGAAUCUUUGAACGCAUAUUGCGCUCUCUGGUAUUCCGGAGAGCAUGCUUGUUUGAGUAUCAGUAAACACCUCAACUCCCCUUUCUUUUUUGAAAUGGGAGCUGGACUUGAGUGAUCCCAACGCUUUUCUCACCGAAAAGUGGCGGGUUACUUGAAAUGCAGGUGCAGCUGGACUUUUCUCUGAGCUAAAAGCAUAUCUAUUCAGUCUGCCUAAAAAACAGAUUAUUACCUUUGCUGCAGCUAACAUAAAGGAGAUUAGUUCUUGUGCUGACUGAUGCAGGAUUCACAGAGACAGCUUCGGCUGGCUUUGUAAACUCGAUCUCAAAUCAAGUAAGACUACCCGCUGAACUUAAGCAUAUCAAUAAGCGGAGGAAAAGAAACUAACAAGGAUUCCCCUAGUAACGGCGAGUGAAGCGGGAUGAGCUCAAAUUUAAAAUCUGGCUGGUUUACUAGUCCGAAUUGUAGUUUAAAGAAGCGUUUUCGGUGGCAGCCUGGGUAUAAAUCCUUUGGAACAGGGUAUCAUAGAGGGUGAGAAUCCCGUCUUUGACUCAGUGCAUGCUACUAUGUGAUACGUUUUCAAAGAGUCGAGUUGUUUGGGAAUGCAGCUCAAAAUGGGUGGUAAAUUUCAUCUAAAGCUAAAUAUUGGCGAGAGACCGAUAGCGAACAAGUACCGUGAGGGAAAGAUGAAAAGAACUUUGAAAAGAGAGUUAAACAGUGCGUGAAAUUGUUGAAAGGGAAACGCUUGAAGU
rnacentral:sRNA from 1 species